rnacentral:rRNA from 1 species
ACGGGUGAGUAACACGUGAGUAACCUGCCCUUAACUCUGGGAUAAGCCUGGGAAACUGGGUCUAAUACCGGAUAUGACUCCUCAUCGCAUGGUGGGGGGUGGAAAGCUUUUUGUGGUUUUGGAUGGACUCGCGGCCUAUCAGCUUGUUGGUGAGGUAAUGGCUUACCAAGGCGAAUACGGGUAGCCGGCCUGAGAAGGAGACCGGCCACUCUGGGACUGACACACGGCCCACACUCCUACGGGAGGCAGCUGUGGGGAAUAUUGCACAGUGGGCGCAAGCCUGAUGCAGCGACCCCGCGUGAGGGAUGACGGCCUUCGGGUUGUAAACCUCUUUCCGUAGGGAAGAAGCCAAAGUGACGGUCCCUGCAGAAGAAGCGCCGGCUAACUACGUGCCAGCCGCCGCGGUAAUACGUAGGGCGCAAGCGUUAUCCGGAAUUAUUGGGCGUAAAGAGCUCGUACUGCGGUUUGUCGCGUCUGCCGGUGAAACUCCGGGGUCUCAACUCCGGAUCUGCGAGUGGGUACUUGGCAGACUAGAGUGAUGUAUGGGGAGACUG